rnacentral:rRNA from 1 species
UGUCAGCAGCCGCGGUAAUACGUAGGGUGCGAGCGUUAAUCGGAAUUACUGGGCGUAAAGCGUGCGCAGGCGGUUCUAUAAGACAGAUGUGAAAUCCCCGGGCUUAACCUGGGAACUGCGUUUGUGACUGUAGGACUCGAGUGUGGCAGAGGGGGGUGGAAUUCCACGUGUAGCAGUGAAAUGCGUAGAGAUGUGGAGGAACACCGAUGGCGAAGGCAGCCCCCUGGGUCAACACUGACGCUCAUGCACGAAAGCGUGGGGAGCAAACAGGAUUAGAUACCCUGGUAGUCCACGCCCUAAACGAUGCGAACUAGGUGUUGGGGAAGGAGACUUUCUUAGUACCGCAGCUAACGCGUGAAGUUCGCCGCCUGGGGAGUACGGUCGCAAGAUUAAAACUCAAAGAAAUUGACGG